GCCUCUUCUUUUCAUGCUGUAUUAGAGAGUUUAUUUACUACAUACACUUUAAUUAUUCACACAUAUACAUGUAUUCUGAUCUCAUGACACUAAAUAUCAGUGGAACAAUUUAUACAUGACAAACAUGUGUAAUAACAUUUGUCUCUUUCACAGAUUCCUGCUUCACCAGGUCGAUCCAGUCUGAGAGUCACAGUCCGGGCUCCUCCACAAAUCAUGGAGUCAACCAGAAUGAAACUCAUGAAUACAACUCUCUUCAUCCUGGUACUGCUGAUCUCUAUGAAUCAGUCACACAAAUGGAAGAUUCUACAAAUGGUAUCUGUAUAUGUUUUUUUUU